rnacentral:lncRNA from 1 species
AGCGGAAGGCAGCGGCCGUCCCGGGGCAGCCGCAGCCUCUCCCGGCACCGGGCCGUAUUUCGUUCCACAGCACAGCUCAGCCCGCAGCUCCCCGUGCGGAGCAGCUCCGCCCGCGCCCCGGCAUCGCCCCGGCACCGCGCUGCGGGGAGGGGGAGAGAGGCAGCGGCGGGCAGGAAGCCCUGCUUAUCGCCAGCCCUUCGGUAGCGAUAACCGAUCCCUGCGCCGGGCACCCAUUUC